GUUGGCGGGGUAACGGCCCACCAAGCUUCGAUGGAUAGGGGUUCUGAGAGGAAGGUCCCCCCACAUUGGAACUGAGACACGGUCCAAACUCCUACGGGAGGCAGCAUG
rnacentral:rRNA from 1 species